CAACCCAAAUCGCGGCAUCUACCCUAACUCAAGUCUCUAACCGGCUAACCCUAGAGAGGAGAGAGACAGACAGACGCAAACGCGAGCCGGCGGCGGAGCGGCGGCUGUGGUGCAUCCAGAUCGCGGCAUCGCGCGCCCCCGCGCCCACCGCCCGCGCCACCGCUCGCCACCUGGUCCGCCGUCCUAUCCUCGCCCCCACCAUCUCGCGCCGCCCUCGCUCUUCGCCGUUUCGCCGCUGGCCGCCGCCACCAUCUCGCACCUCCGCCGGCCUGCUCGGUCCCCGUUAUCUCACGACGCCGUCCCGCCACGUCUCGCCGUUUCACCGCCGCCACCACCACCGACGACGACGCGACAGCCACCACCACCGAUGACACCUCAAGCCCCACUGGCGACUCUUCCUCACCGCCACCAACGCCGACGACUCCUCGCCUCGCAGUAGCCAGCAGCCCAGCGGCAGCAACUGAGCAACCAGCAGAUUUGUGAUGGAAUCAUCAAAUGCAAGUAGCAGCAGUGCAAGUGUAUGCAAUGCGGGCAUUGUAGCUUUGCCAGCAUCACAACCAACCCUUGCAAAUGUAGGAGAUCCUACCACAAAUGUGGGUGCAGUGGCAAGAGUAGAAGUUGCUGUUCUGUGAUGAUUGAUGAACUAAGUAUUGAUGGACUGAUGUUCUGUUGUUGUUCUCAAACCCAUUUCCUGGAGAGAUAGGCUGAUAGCAGUAUAGCACCUGAAUUGUGUAUACCUUAUACCAUUGUGUUUUGCUGUAUUCUUUUAGAAUAUUUGUUAUGCAAAUUAUAUGAAGUUAUAGAAGAAUAUAUUUUGCUGUUGAUACUAAACAAUUAGUCUUGAUAUAAUUGUGUUUUAUGAUGAA